UAAAAGUUAAUAAACCACUAUCUAAUAUAACAUCACAUUGUUUCUUAUUAAAACCCAGAAACAUUUAAGCCACAUCUUUUACAUGUGAAAUUUUAGUAAGAAUUAACGAAAUUAGGAAUUAUGUCAAUUGUUCAACGCAAUUCAUUAGAUGCGCUCAGGAAGCAUAGAUCCAAUUUCCAAUCUCUUCUAAAAAGUGUAUAUCGGAUAAAACAUUUCGGAGAACAAUGUAAGUAUUUCCUAACAUCAAAUAUAUAAUGCAAUGUUAGAAAGCAUAUAAACCACAAUUAGCAUUAAUCGCAUGUUUUAUAUGCACAAUUAUGUGGCAUAGCGUAGAUUUGUAUUUGUUACGUACAUGGAAACAGGAUAAGGUACUUUGUAAAACUGGUUUUGCUCAUAGAUAGACUUACGUAACACGAAAGACUAUAAGAAUGCAUUAUAAACUGCAUACGCGUAAAAAAAACUUAUAAUACGUGUGAAGUUGUCGUGACGGUAAGACGUGUCGGGAAGAUUCAAAUUCGUAUUAAAUUUUCGUAAGUGAAAUACAGAUUAACGUACGAAAAUUGUGUUUCGCACGUUAAUCUGUGAAAAAGGACCUUACGAAAUUGAACAAGAAUAAGUUGUCACACUAUAAUAAAAAAAAGUUACUAAAAAGAAUUUAACUUCAUAACUUUAAUUUCUUGGCUUUAAAGUUGUGAAGAAUAUCGAGAUUAUUAAACAGUACAAUGAAAACAUUCCUUCACGUUUUCUUAAUAAUUAUGCUGAUAAUGUUCAGUUUAAUGACACUUGGAAUGUCAAAAAGAACCCGUCGAGCAUUUCCUCCCAUCCUGGAUGCUAGACCUGGAAUGGAUCCUAGACCUAGACCUAGACCUUAUAUUGGGGACCCGAUUGUUGAAAGAGCUUGCGCACCAGGAAUGAUGAGAGACCAAUACGGAAUCUGUCGAGAUAUUAUGUUAUAAACAAUAAAUUGGUGACAAUCAGACCUAAAUAUUUGAGACGUCCCACGACACACAUAAACAUAUCUAAUAUACAUAUCUAAAACAUAUCUAAACAUAUCUAAAACAUAUCUAAAACAUAUCUAAAACAUAUCUAAUAAUGCAACAAAUGAGAGGAGAUAAUUCAAAAAACAAAAUAGUACAUAUGGCAACUUACAAAUAUAGAUAAACAGUAAUCACUAUUAAAAUCAAUUGUUCUGACAUUAUAUAUAUCUUCUGAAAUAAUCUAUAAUCUAAAAUAUUUAUUAACGGUUAUGGUAACGAACAAUAGUAUAUACAAUUAUGUUUACAAUUCAAUAUAAUAGAUGUAUGUUACAGAACUGUAUCAAUAACUAAUCGAUUAAGAAAUCUUAAUAAAAUCGAUCCAUGUAAUUGUUACAUUAAAAGUUAAUAAAUCACUGGCUACUAUGACAUAAUAGUGUCUUUUAUUAAAACUUAAAAACAAUUAAACCAUACAUUUUCUUUGAAAUUUUAGUAAAAAUUAUCGAAAUUAGAACACCUGCUUUUCCACGCAGUUCAUUAGAUGCACGUAGAAGGCAUGAGUCCAAUUCCCAAUCCUCUUUAAAAACUAUAUAUCAGACAAAACGUUUUGGAGAACAACGUUUUUGUCGACAAGAAAUAUCCAAGCUUUAAUUGGAGCCUUAUUUCAUAUCAAUAAGAUGAUUUUUGGCUGAGUUAUUGCUAUUGAAAGAUAUGCAGAAAACUGUGCUAAAAUUUAAAGAUCUGUUUUUUUACGGGUGAGCAUAUAAUGCAAUUUUGGACACGAUUAGUAAUUAUUAUUAAUCGCCGCUUUUAUAUAUGCAAUUAUUUGGCAUAGCGUAAAUUAGUGAUUAUUUGUUACAUAACCGGCAACAGAACAUUUUGUAAAACUUGUUUUGUUCAUAGAUAGAUUUAUGUAAUACGAAAGACUAUAAGAACGCAUUAUAAACAGCAUACGCAUGGAAAUAUCUUACAAUACGUGUUAAUUUGUUGGGACGGUAAGACGUGUUGGGAAGACUCAAAUUCGUAUUAUUUUUGUAAUUUUUUGUAAGUGAAAUAUAGAUUAACGUGCGAAAACUAUGUUUGAAGGACCUUACGAAAUUCAACCAAAAUAAGUUAUCAUUAUAAUAAAAAAGUUGCUAAAAAGAAUUUGGGUUUUUAAUUUUAGUUUCUUGGCUUUAAAAUCGUAGAGAAUAUCAAAUUAUUAAACGGCACAAUGAAAGAGUUUUUUUAUGUUUUUUUAAUAAUUGUGCUGAUAAUGUUCAGCCUAAUAUCACUUGGAAAGUCAAAAAGUGUCAUCCAGUAAUAAAGCUUCCAUCUACAAUCCUAAAUCCAAUUGCAUACCCGCGAAUACACAUUAAUUCGGGAGAUCUAUCAAAUAUUGUAGAGUUGCAGUGGUGGUUGUAGAGUGCAUUUACAGUGGUUUGCCCACCGGAGCAACUUCCUGACCCAUACAAACUUUGUCGCAAAAAGGAAUAAUAUUAAAAACAAGCAGAUAAUUAUUAAUUAAAAAUUUGCUACCUUUAAUUACAACAAAAAGAAGUAUAUAUGAAAUUUUCUCAUUUAUCAGGAUCUCCAUUCUAUAUAUUCAUUUCACUUACUAUUUUUAUCUUUCAUAUUUUUCUUCAUGAGGCCCUAAAUAUUUCAAAGGUCCCACAUCACAAAAAUCACACAUCAAACAAUGUAGCAGAUGUGAAAAGAUAAUGUAAAGGAUAUAAAAUAACAUACGACAGCUUACAAAUGUGAAUAAAUAUUAAUUGUCACUAAUGAAGUCAAUUGUUCUGACGUUCUACAUAUAUCCUGGAAUAAUCUGUAAUCUGUAAUAAUUUACUGAUGAUUAUAGUAACUGCAAAAAUACACCACAAAUAGCAUGCACGUUGACAAAAUAUGCAAUACAUGUCAAUUCGUUGCGACGCUAAGAUGUGUUCAAAAAAUUUAAAUUCGUAUUAAAUUUUUAUAAGUGAAAUACAGAUUAUCCUGCAAAAAUUGUGUGUUAAGGAUCCUGUGCAAUUUUACGAAAACAAUUUAAUAAAAUAAAAUCAAUAUAAUA